rnacentral:rRNA from 1 species
UACAGAGGUGGCGAACGUUGUUCGGAUUUACUGGGCGUAAAGGGUGCGUAGGUGGAUUGGUAUGUCGGAUGUGAAAUCUCGCUGCUCAACGGCGAAACUGCGUUCGAAACUGCCAGUCUGGAGUACAUGAGGGGAGAGCGGAAUUCUUGGUGUAGCGGUGAAAUGCGUUGAUAUCAAGAAGAACACCGGUGGCGAAGGCGGCUCUCUGGCAUGUUACUGACACUGAGGCACGAAAGUUAGGGGAGCGAAC